UACUUUCAUUUCCAACUGCCAGGCAGCAACUGCCAUACAGAAAAAGGAGGGGUUGAAAGGGAGUAGCCUCUGAUAGCCAGUCAGCAUGCAUCGAACUUAGGUUCCCUGCCUCCAGACCCUAUUCUCCUGCCUCAUUUCCCCCCUGAGAGACAUGAUCCCCAGAAAUCUUUAUGGGAGACAGAGUGACUGAUGGUCUUUCUUCUGUAACUGUGUCACCCUGACUUGAGGCGCAGUCCCUACCUAUUGGGGAUCCCCGAACUCCUGCCUUUAUCUAUCUAGUGGAGACUGGGUAGUUUCUUGAUGGCCAGGGGUGCUGCCUUCAUUUGGAACAGGCUGGAAACCUUGUCACAGGAUCAUCUGAAACUUGAUGGUCUCUAGGGGCUUAGGCAUUGAGAAGCAGAAGCCAGGAAGGUGGUAAUAUACCUGUGUUUCCUGGACAGCCCCAUCCCAACAGGAUGGCAGACCUGGAACUUGCUCCUAAUCAAUAGAAUACAGCAAAGCAUGGAGGAAACGCUACACAGCAGGAAAGAAUAAAACUGGCUCACAAAGAGGAGCCCUGAGACACACUGAAAAAGGCUGGUUGCCAUAAUCCGAGUAGCAGGGACUGCCACACCUGAGGCCAGCCCAGCCCUAGAUAUCCCAGUUUUACAACAUUCUCUAAUUCAGUGGCUCUCAAGUGUGGUCUGGACCAUCAGCAUCACCAUCAUCUGGGAACUUACUUGCUACAAACACUUGAAUGAAUGCCUCCCAACCUGCUGACUCAGAAGCACUGAGAAUGGGCCUGACCAUCUGCAUUUUAGCGGGCCUCUGGGUGAUCCUGAUGUAUGCUCAAGUUUGAGAUCUACUGCUCUAAUUAACUUAUUUAUUUAUAUUUUUUGAGACAGAGCGAGAGCUCUGUUGCCUAGGCUGGAGUGCAGUGGUGUGAUCAUAGCUCACUACAACUUCAAAUGCUUGGGCAGAAAAGAUCCUCCCACUUCAGCCCAAGUAGCUGGACUACAGGUGCACACCACCACACUCAGCUUAUUUUUUUUUUUUAAUAGAGACAGGGUCUCACUAUACUGCCCAGGCUGGUCUUAAACUCCUUGCCUCAAGAGAUCCUCCUGCCUCAGCCUCCCAAAGUGUUGGGAUUACAGGACAGGUGUGCACCACCACGCCAGCCCCCACUCUAAUUUAUUUAUCUAUUUCCCUGUUGACAUUCAAGUUGUUUCCAAUUUUUGUUACCUGUGCUACCAUACAACCCUUUUUAAGUGCUUUUGCAUCCUGUAAGAACAUCUCUUCUCUCAAAUUUUUCCUGGUUAAUUUUUCAUGUUGACUUUUCCAGAUGAACUCUUCCAGAUGAGUGAGUCUGCUUGUAAAUUCCAGUCUCAGUGGGAUUACAUUGAAUAUAUGCUUUAAUUUGGGAAGGAUUGACAUCUUGACAAUAUUGAGUUUUCCCAUCAAAUAUUGAAAUCCUACAGGAUUUUUAAAGUAUAAGUCACACAAUUAUAUGUAAUUUAGGUAUGCUUUAUUAUUAUCCCAAAUGUAACAAUUGUAGAAGAUACUAUAAUGGUCUUCUCCUUUCACUGAAUUUUAUGAAAUUAGGAACAUAAUAAUGAAGGGUCAAGUGUA